UACGUAGGUGGCAAGCGUUGUCCGGAUUUAUUGGGUUUAAAGGGUGCGUAGGCGGUCUAUUAAGUCAGUGGUGAAAUAUGGCAGCUUAACUGUCAAGGUGCCAUUGAUACUGAUGGACUUGAGUGAAGUCGAGGUUGGCGGAAUUGACGGUGUAGCGGUGAAAUGCUUAGAUAUCGUCAAGAACACCGAUAGUGAAGACAGCUAACUAGGCUUAUACUGACGCUGAGGUGCGAAAGCGUGGGGAGCAAACAGG
rnacentral:rRNA from 1 species